rnacentral:lncRNA from 1 species
UCCCUUUGUUUCCAUUUGUCUUUCCCUUUUCCUUAUCUUUUUCACUUCAGAUUUUUUUUUUAUCUUUUCCUCAUAUAAUCCCAUGCCUAAUGCCAAUUUUGAUUGAAUUUUAUCCUAUAUGGGGCACCCCUUAUAUAAGGAAUGAAGGGGUGCCACAUAAUUUCCAUGGGGCGACAACUUUUGGCAUCCCAUCUCCCUUACAUGGUAAAAAUAAAUUUUUAGCAUGUAAUCCAAAGGAGC